AUGAAGGUGCAAUCUUUGCUUUUCCUUCAACAUUCUCACCCAGCAAAAGUUGAGAGGAAGAGAUGCCGCGUCACAGUUGGUUCCUGUAUGAUGUUGCGGGAAUCUGCUGCAACUACAGCACAACCCUCCUCCCGCGACCCUUGCCUGCCGCCGCCACCCACCCUCUCCCUCUCCCGCGCGGUGCCUAUGAUGGGAACGAGCACGGUGGCCAGGGCGGAGUUCCCUGUUCAGGCGGCGGCAGCGGCGGCCACCUCCAUAGCCGGAGGGUCAGCUGGGAUUGGUCUCCGGCGUGCUCUCAGGCGAUGGUUGCUGGCGGCGGUCGUGGAUCUGAUGCUCGUUCAGAUCCAUCGCGAAGUGGCCCUUGGCCGGCCGGCAGCACAUAGAAGGGUUGGUGAGGGGCGGCUGGAGGUCAUCCUCGACCGGAGUUCCGGCGGCUGCGUGCGUCUUCACAGCGCGGCUUCGCAUGGAUCCCAUCAACUACGGAGUUGGGUGGUACCAUUGUCGGUGAAAAUCAUGUCGACUUCGGUCAUGGCGAACGAUGAUGGCAUCGCUUUGAUGCCGUUUUCUUGUCCAGACAUCGUUGUUGUAGUCUGUGUUACCUCACUCGGGCUGCUACGGGAAAACUCUAGAGUUGGUUCUCUCCGAUCAGUUGAUGUCGACGUCUUUGAUGUUGUUUUCCCUCCUUGGGGCAUCGUUUUAGAGCGGGUGCUGGCUGAAGUGGCCAAGAGGUGGAGCUAUGUUGGAUCUACUGCUUCGACGACAGCAAGUUUUAGCCCGUGGCGCAAUGGAGUCUUGGCGAUAGAUAAGCGCAGUGUGGUGGAGCUGUCAUGCAUCGUGGUGGCGUCGACUACAGUUGGGCCCGGCAAGGUCAAUAUGUUGAUCCCUUCUAAAGAUGGGACGAAGGAAGAUGGCGGCGACGGCGGAUUUCGAGUGUGUGCAUGCUAUGUGUGUUGA
rnacentral:rRNA from 1 species